GACGAACGCUGGCGGCGUGCUUAACACAUGCAAGUCGAACGGAAAGGCCCUGCUUUUGUUGGGUUCUCGAGUGGCGAACGGGUGAGUAACACGUGAGUAACCUGCCCUUGACUUUGGGAUAACUUCAGGAAACUGGGGCUAAUACCGGAUAGGAGCUCCUGAUGCAUGUUGGGGGUUGGAAAGUUUCGGCGGUUGGGGAUGGACUCGCGGCUUAGCAGCUUGUUUGUGGGGUAGUGGCUUACCAAGGCUUUGACGGGUAGCCGGCCUGAGAGGGGGACCGGCCACAAUGGGACUGAGAGACGGACCAGACGCCUACGGGAGGCAGCAGUGGAGAAUAUUGCACAAUGGGCGGACGCCUGAUGCAGAAGCGCCGCGUGCGGGAUGACGGCCUUCGGGUUGUAAACCGCUUUCGCCUGUGACGAAGCGUGAGUGACGGUAAUGGGUAAAGAAGCACCGGCUAACUACGUG
rnacentral:rRNA from 1 species